AACGCUUUAAAACCCCAACUUGAUGCACUCAUCGAGGUCAUGUUGGAUUUAACCAAGUGCAUUGUUGAGUUCAAGCAGCUACCUUCUCAGUAUAUUUCAACUGACGCGCAAGCGAUGUCCACAGCCAUGGCUGAUACCCCGGCAGCUGCAUAUUGGACCUUUCGAAGCAUUGUAGCCUGCCAUUCACAGAUUUUAAGCCUCGCGGGCUUGAGAGAUGCGUAAGCCAUCUAAGAACACAAAUUAAUUGCCAUUCAAAUAUAAAGAUUAAAUGUCAAAUAGCAAAUCUGUCACUAAUAUUUCAGGUACACUGCAUCAAACACUGACGCAUGGGAACUAGCAACCUUGGCUCAUAGAGUCAGCAGGAUACUCGAGCACUUCAAGAAGCUAAUUGCUAUUUGCUAUCAACAAAUUGGUGAGCCCUUAAGAAUGUACAUUUAGGUGGUUUGAUCUCUGCCCUUUUCGAGAGUUUUCAGCAAAUAAUGUUUUUUUUUUCCCUCUGAUCCUUACCAUGGAUGCAGAUGAUAAUAGACAAAUAGAAGCAUAUCACAAUCUCGUGCGCCUUCUUGAAACAAUUCACAUGGACAACAUGAAGGUUCUGAGAGCAUUGAUUUACGCUAAGGAUGAUAUUCAACCUGUUGUGGAUGGUUUCAGCAGGACCAGGGUUUGUUGUUUCCAAAUUCCUUUCUAUGCAUUUUUCCGGCUAGAAGCUCCGUCACUGCAUUUGAAACGCUAGCCUUCUGUUUAUGCGAACAGGUUAAUAUCGACGUUUUGAGAAGAAAGCAUGUGCUGCUACUCAUAUCGAGCCUUGAUCUCUCCGCCGAAGAAAUUUUGGUUCUUGAUCAGAUGUAUAGAGACCCCAAAGCAAGCGAAGAGUAUCACUACGCAAUCGUGUGGCUUCCAAUUGUGGACAGGUCAAUUGCUUGGGAUGACGGGUAUCAACAAAAAUUUGAGCAGCUACAAGCAAUGAUGCCAUGGUACACUGUCCAACAUCCUACGAUUAUUGAACCUGCAGUCGUUAAGUAUAUCAAAGAAGUGUGGAAGUUUUCAAAGAAGGCGAUCCUAGUGCCAGUGGAUCCACAAGGGAGGAUUUUGAACCAAAACGCUUUUCACAUGUUGUGGAUUCUUAUAUAUAUAUAUAUAUAUAUAUAGAAAUUAAUGAGAUAGCUGUUCCGGCAACCUUUCUGCAUAUUAUAAAAUCGGUACAACUUAAUUCCUCUAUGAUAAAAUUGGUCUAAAGUAGUGGAUUCCCCUUACUGCAACUUUUUUACUUUUUUCAUUAAGUUUUUUUUAUAAAAAAAAUUACUCUUAAUUGUACUUGCCAUGUCAUCUUCAGCAAAUGUGUAACUAUCACUAUGCAUGUACCUAUCUAUAUAUAUGUAUAAAUCCUGGCGUGUAUCGCACAGCAAUCGUCACACUCUUAAGUCCCUAAGAGUAACGGACAGCCACGUCACAUAGCUGCCAAAAAUGCAGGAAGUGCUCGCCAGAAGCAAGGGCCGAAUGUUGUCAGCAACGGACGACAGUGCAAUGAUGAAGCAAGUUCAGGCGAGUCAUGCUCCGGAUGGCCGAGAAGUUGAUGUUAGACCAAUUCUCAGUAUCAUUGAAGAUAUUUUUCGUCGUGCCACUCCUAGUACUAUCGAUGGAGUAGUAAGUGUAAAAUUUUGAUUGUGCCAUUCAAUUCAUUAGCUUUGUGUAUGAUAAUAUGCAUAUAAAUUGGUGGCAAUUCUCGUAGGGCACGAGUGAACAUGUGGACGCAUUGGAUAAAAAUGCAAGCCCGGCUGCUCUCAGUGGCAUGCUUGACGUAUUGUCUUGUGAUAUACGCAAAAUCUCUUGUGAGGUGAUUUUUUAUUUCCUGAUCCUUUUGAAUGUAUUGGACAUAUACCAUUGCUUCUUGACCUUAAACUUUUAAUUGUUAUCCCGCUGCAGUGCUUUGUGUGCUAAAACUGCUUUAUAACUUAAGCAAGGAAAGCCAAAGAUCUCAAAUAAUCUAAUAUCGGUUUUAAUUUGUAUGCACGUACUUGCAGAUAUCGUGCAAGUGCUCGGGAGGAGAAGAGGCACAUGCCACAACCAUGGACUUAUUCAACAUUCUUUCGGUCUACUCAUGGGAUGCAAAAAUGGUGCUAUCCUUAGCAGCUUUUGCUUUGAAUUAUGGGCAAUUUUGGCUUGGCGCCCAGCUCUGUAAUAAAAACUCACUUGCCAAGUCUAUGGCUGUACUUAAGCAACUGCCAAACGUUUUAGAGCAUUUUAACGCUUUAAAACCCCAACUUGAUGCACUCAUCGAGGUCAUGUUGGAUUUAACCAAGUGCAUUGUUGAGUUCAAGCAGCUACCUUCUCAGUAUAUUUCAACUGACGCGCAAGCGAUGUCCACAGCCAUGGCUGAUACCCCGGCAGCUGCAUAUUGGACCUUUCGAAGCAUUGUAGCCUGCCAUUCACAGAUUUUAAGCCUCGCGGGC
rnacentral:lncRNA from 1 species